CCGCACGGGUGAGUAACACGUAUGCAAUCCACCUGUAACAGGGGGAUAACCCGGAGAAAUCCGGACUAAUACCCCAUAAUAUGGGCGCUCCGCAUGGAGAGCCCAUUAAAGAGAGCAAUUUUGGUUACAGACGAGCAUGCGCUCCAUUAGCCAGUUGGCGGGGUAACGGCCCACCAAAGCGACGAUGGAUAGGGGUUCUGAGAGGAAGGUCCCCCACAUGGAACUGAGACACGGUCCAA
rnacentral:rRNA from 1 species